GAUGAAGAACGUAGCGAAAUGCGAUAAGUAAUGUGAAUUGCAGAAUUCAGUGAAUCAUCGAAUCUUUGAACGCACAUUGCGCCCGCCAGCACUCUGGCGGGCAUGCCUGUUCGAGCGUCAUUUCAACCAUCAAGCCCCCAGGGGCUUGUGCUGGGGCCCUGCGGCUGCCCGCAGGCCCUGAAAACCAGUAGCGGGCUCGCUAGUCACACCGAGCGCAGUAGCACAUCUCGCUCAGGGCGUGCGGCGGGCUCCUGCCGUGAAACCCCCCACUGUAACCCCAAAGGUUGACCUCGGAUCAGGUAGGAAUACCCGCUGAACUUAAGCAUAUCAAUAAGCGGAGGA
rnacentral:misc_RNA from 1 species